rnacentral:rRNA from 1 species
GAUGAACGCUGGCGGCGUGCCUAAUACAUGCGAGUCGAGCGAACGGACGAGAAGCUUGCUUCUCGGAUGUUAGCGGCGGACGGGUGAGUAACACGUGGAUAACCUACCUAUAAGACUGGGAUAACUUCGGGAAAGGGGAGCUAAUACCGGAUGAUAUUUUGAACCGCAGGGGGCAAAGGUGAAAGACGGCCUUGCUGUCAGGAAUAGAUGGAUCCGCGCUGCAUGAGCUAGUUGGUAAGGUAACGGCCUACCAAGGCAACUAGGCAUAGCCGACCUGACAGAGUGAUAGGCCACACUGGAACUGAGACACGGUCCAUACUCCUACGAGACGCAGCAGUAGCGUAUCUUCCGCAGUAGGCGAGAACAUGACGCAGCAACGCCGCGUGAGUGAUGACGGUCUUCCGAUCGUAAUACUCUGUUAUUAGGUAAGAACAUAUGUGUACGUAGCUGUGCACAUCUUGACGGUAAUUAAUCAGAAAGCCACGGCUAACUACGUG